rnacentral:lncRNA from 1 species
CGGAAGUUCUUUGAAAACCUCUCCACACUUGUCAAUGGCCUGAGCAGAGACACAUGAACCAAGACCAGCGACCUUGGGAUGCCCUGUGUCCAGCCAGGCGCAGUGGCUCACGCCUGUAAUCCCAGCACUUCCCGAGGCCGAGGCAGAAGGAUCGCUUGAGAACAGGAGUUCGAGAUCAUCCUGGGUGAUACAGCAAGACCCCGUUUCUUGCUGAAAAUCGAAUUUCAAUUUUUCUUUACCUGGAAUAGCAUCAAAUAGCAAAUAAAACACACCAGAACAAACUGAAAGACCAUGGAAGAAAGGAAAGAGCUUUAUAUUUUAGUUCCUUAAAAGUACUUUUGUCCUGCUUUUUGAACAAGGGGCUCUGCCUUUCAUUUUGCAUUGGAUGUAACAAAUUAUGUAGUUGGUUCUUCUCUCAUCUUGGCUUCUUUCACAAUACCUUCAUUUUUGUCUUCUGGGACCAUGUUUUGCUCCUUCUCAAGUCCACUAGGCAGGCUGAGGCCCCUCACACUCGCCACAUGUAUCAGGCAGAGAUUAACUUUCUCAAGCCUUUUUCCAGAUUCCCAGAAGAAAGCAUUGGAUUGGCCCAGUUGCACCAUGUGACCUGGCCAGGGGAGAAGUCAUGUGAUACAAACAUGGCUUGAGCCAAGCCCUGUGGAUAGAAAGGUGGGUGGGUAUCAGAGAAAGGGAGCUGUGCAAGUACCCCAGACUUGUCUGGGUUGGCCCUUUCAAGUAGUCCAAAAUUGGAGGUGGGGGUGUCUAGUCCUUUAUACACUGAGUGGUUCAAUGCCCCAGAGUGGUGGAAAGAAAAUGUGGCCUUUGGGGUUGGGCUUUCUAGGGCUCUCACUCUCUCAGGUGGAAAUUGUCAGUACCAGCAUUCCCAGCAGCUGUGGAAUGAGUCCCUUAGUCCUGAAAUGAUGCUAGGGACCUAGGCAGGGCACUACAGCUCACAUUACACUUCCUACUUGGAAAUGAUGAUUGUUUUUGCUUGUUUGUUUGGUUAAAGACACGCCUCCCUAUGUCUCCCAACCUGGAGUCCAGUGGCAUGAUCAUAGCACAGGACAGUCUAGAACUCCUGGCCUCAAGCAAUCCUCCUGCCUCAGCCUCUCUAGUAGCUCAGACUACAGGUGCACACUACUGCGCCUGCCUUUCAGUGAUUUUUUUUGAAUGGAAUCCUAUUUAUAGGGACUGAGUGGUCCUAGUAAUAAGGUAAAGGAAACAUUUUUCUAAUAAUUAUCUGGAAGUGCUCUGGGAACUUGAUGUAUUGUUUUUAUGCAUGAAAUUUUGGCCUGUGACUCCAUGAAGUUGGCGUCAGUUGUUAAUUUUAAAUUUCUGUUGCUCUAGAAGGUGUUAGUGGAUUGUCUGGGGUAAGGAGGAAUAGGUGGAAAGAGAAGGAAGAAUCUCCCUAAUUAUUUACAUCUUCUUUCAGGAAACAUUCCUUAACUCCACACAGAAACAAGGUGAGGGGCCAGGGCUGACACUAGCAAGACCCCUAAGGACCUGGGGCCCAGGGGGGAGCGGGGGGUUUGGGCAGGGGUGGGGAAGGGGUCUGACUUUCUGGCAAUGCUUUUAGCAGGUUGCUGUUCUCGUAGAAAUACGGCUCAAACUUUUCCGAAACAGUUUAGUAGCUACGAUUAAGUAAAAAAUAACUUAAAAAAAAAAAAAAGCAUGGAUAGGUCUGUCACAGUGGCUCAUGCCUAUUAUCCCAGCACUUUAGGAGGCCGAGGUGGGAGGAUUGACUGAGCUCAGGAGUUUGAGACCGGUCUGGGCAACUUAGGAAGACCCUAUCUGUACAGAAAAUAAAGAAGUAAAAAUCAGCCAGGCGUGGUGGUGCUUGCCUGUAAGUCUUAGCUACUCAGGAGGCUGAGAUUGGAGGAUCACUUGAGUCCAGGAGGAAGAGGCUGCCAUGAGCCCUGAUUGUGCCACUGCACUCCAGCCUGCACAAUAGAGCGAGACCCUGUCUCAAAAAAAAAUGAGUAAAAAAUAUUUCUUCCAAAGGUCUCUCGGCUCACUUGGAUUACGGGUUCAGUCAUUUCUAAGCAUUUCCUGCAGCCUCAGAAACUCAAUAGUCAAUUAUUUCCACGAGUACAAAGCUUAAAGAUGAAGAGAACAAGAGAGGGAAGGGUAAAAGGACACCAAAGGGCCAUUUUCACUUGCUCCUAAAUAAUGUGAAUGAUAUUAAAUCUGCUCUAAAUGGUACCAGAAUGCAUUUAUCUUACCCCAUCUUUGUGUCAAUUGCCCAGUCAAUGUAUUUUGCCUGAAAUGUAAUCAUUCUUGACUCCUUCAUAUCUUUCAACCCCCAAUCAAUUAAUCCAAUAAACAUUUAUUGAGGCAUUUGUAUGUACAGGUGCUCUUCCACUUAUGAUGUGGUUACCUUCUGAUAAACCCAUCAUACAUUGAAAAUGCCGUAAGUUGAAAAUGCAUUUAAUACACCUAACCUACCAAACAUCAUAGCUUAGCCUAGCCUACCCUAAACAUGUGCAGAACAUUUAUAUUAGCCUAUGGUUGGAAAAAUCAUCUAACACAAAACCUAUUUUGUGAUAAAGUAUUGAAUAUCUCAUGUAAUUUUUUGAAUACUAUACUGAAAAUGAAAAACUGAAUGGUUGUAUGGGUCCCUGAAGUACAGUUUCUACUUACAUGUAUUGCUUUCACAGCACUGUAAAGCUGAAAAAUUUAAAUCGAACCAUGAUAAGUCAACGACUGUCUGUACAAGGUAACAUACAAAAGCCUCUGAUAAAGAAAAUACUGGUAGAACAUCGUCCCUGAUUUUGUAUGAUCCUGAGGGGGAGGUUGACACAUAUACAACUUUGAAUAAAACCCACACAAUACCUAAUAACAGAGGGCAAAGAACCAUGAAAGUAGAGUCAAGGGGAGUGAAAAUUCCACUCACUUUGUUUACUGUGAUUAAUUCUCAAGUUGUUCGUAAUCCACUAAAGUCAACUGACCCAUGGGGUGAAGUGGUAUUCAGUUAAUGAGUCAAUUCCCUGCAACCUUUCAACAAUAUGGGGCACCAAAGCCCUGAAUGUAUAAGAGUGGGCCUUUCUGAAUACAUUCUGUGAAAAUUUUAUACCCCAAUCUGAUUUAUAUCAUAUCAUGUUAUGUAACAAAUAAUUAGCUACAAAUAUAUCCAUGGCACAAGGCUUGUUGCUUUUGCCCCUGAAAAGAAACCGUAUCAUAAUUGCUAGGUAUCCUUGGUGAUUAUUCAGAAAAUCUUUGAACUUGCCUUUCACAAAAUAGAGAGGGGCAUUCUCUUGACAUUGUGUGAUGUUUUGCCUCUUAUUGCAAGAAUGCAUUGCAUGCUCCCUGAAAUAUUUUAGCAGUCCCAACUCUUCCAAAUUGUUCAAUCCCUAUAUGACAAAGCAAAAUAAUUUAAAUAUUGUUUCAAUAAUAAAAGUUUACCAAAAUAUCUUGCAUUAUUUGUAUUAAAAGAAAAAAUCCAUAAAACAUGUAUUGAACCUUAUUUGAAAUAACAUGCCACAAACAAUUUCUCUGACAACUCAAGCCUGUUCUAUUCAAGCAGGCUCUCAAGACCCAACAAGUCAUCUGGUGACUCAGGUGGCUCCUGAGAAGAAAUAAAAUGCUCUGUGCAACUUGUGUUUCUGAAGCAUUUACUGGGUGUGUAGCAUUUUGUAAUUUAGCUGGAUUCCUUUUGCAAAACAUGCAACAAAGAAUUUAAUCAGCAAAGCAAAACAGGUUUGUGGCAUUCCAGAGCGAUUCUCUAAUCCAAAUAUAAAUUAUUCAAGUUCCAACCAAUCUAGCAAAUCACAAAUGAACAUGGUAAGGAUUGUGAUUGACCAAUUACAAGUCACAAGUCUAAUGGUAGGUUAGGCACAAUGAUUCACAUCUGUAAUCCCAGCACUUUGUGAGCCAAGGUGGGUGGAUUGCUUGAGCUCAGGAGUUCAAGACCAGCCUGGGCAACGUGGUGAAACCCCGUCUCUAUUAGUCAAUUUGGAUUGAUUCAGUGGGCAGUUCGUUUAGAUGAACUUUAUGCAGUAUUCAAGUUAUUAAGAAAAUUACAGGCUGGGCAUGGUGGCCUAACAAAGAAGAGAUGGGUUCUUACUAUAUUGUUCAGGCUGAAGUGUAGUGACCAUUCACGUGUGCAAUUAGGAUGCACUACACCCUUGAACUCCUGGGCUCAAGUGAUCCUUCUGCCCCAGCCUCCCAAGCAGCCGAGAUUACAGGCAGGCACCACCGCACCCAGCCUCAGCUGGCUAUUUAUACACAUGCACACAUAUGGAGAGGAAGAGAGGGAGAGAGAUUGUCUAAGAAUAAGGAUAUAUUUUAUAUAACCAAUCAUAAUAUCAAACAAGAAAAUUAGCAUUAGUUGUAUAUUAUCUAAUAUACAGUCUAUGUUUGAAUUUCUCCAGUUAUUUAAAAAAUGUCUUAGAGCUGGGUUUUAUUUUUCUGAAUCUGGGUUCCAAGCAAGAUUUGUACAUUGCAUUUGAUUAUUUCUCUUUAAUUCUUAAUCUACAACAAUUUUUCUGUCUAAAAAUAUUUCUAUGAUAAUGACAUUUUUCCCAAUAGUCUUAAACAAUGUCCCACAUUCUUGAUUUUUCUACUUUUUUCAUUAUUAGGUUUAGGUUAAUAAAGUUUGGCAAAAUACUUAUAUUACUGUCAAAGUAAUGUUUAAAGUGAAAUUUUGAAUUUUCUUUGUUUGAUAUUAUGUCUUCCCCCAAAUUCUAGUGUAUAGAAACUUUGGUUUAAAAAAGUAUUUAUAUAAUAAACAGUAUGGUCGUACUAG